rnacentral:misc_RNA from 1 species
UGGUCCAUUAGAGGAAGUAAAAGUCGUAACAAGGUCUCCGUUGGUGAACCAGCGGAGGGAUCAUUACAGGGUAGCUUUAUGCUGUAAACCCCCAACCAUUGUGAACGAAGCUUAUUCGCAGUUGCCUCAGCGGGUGGUUAUGCUACCCGCCUGAAGCACGCAAACUCUUGUUUUAAUGUCAUCUCUGAGUAACUUUUAAUAAGUCAAAACUUUCAACAACGGAUCUCUUGGUUCUGGCAUCGAUGAAGAACGCAGCGAAAUGCGAUAAGUAAUGUGAAUUGCAGAAUUCAGUGAAUCAUCGAAUCUUUGAACGCACAUUGCGCCCGCUAGUAUUCUGGCGGGCAUGCCUGUUCGAGCGUCAUUUCAACCAUCAAGCCCUAGGCUUGUGUUGGGGCUCUGCGGCUGCCGCAGUCCCCUAAAAGCAGUGGCGGACUCGCUGUCAUACCGAGCGCAGUAGCAUAUCUCGCUCUGGGCGUGGCGGCGGGUACCGGCCGUUAAACAAUCCAUCAAGGUUGACCUCGGAUCAGGUAGGAAUACCCGCUGAACUU